GGCGGCGUGCUUAACACAUGCAAGUCGAGCGGAAAGGCCCUUCGGGGUACUCGAGCGGCGAACGGGUGAGUAACACGUGAGUAACCUGCCCUGGACUUUGGGAUAACCCUCGGAAACGGGGGCUAAUACCGAAUACGACACGAGGUCGCAUGGUCUUCGUGUGGAAAGUUUUUCGGUUUGGGAUGGACUCGCGGCCUAUCAGCUUGUUGGUGGGGUAAUGGCCUACCAAGGCGACGACGGGUAGCCGGCCUGAGAGGGCGACCGGCCACACUGGGACUGAGACACGGCCCAGACUCCUACGGGAGGCAGCAGUGGGGAAUAUUGCACAAUGGGCGGAAGCCUGAUGCAGCGACGCCGCGUGAGGGAUGACGGCCUUCGGGUUGUAAACCUCUUUCAGCAGGGACGAAGCGCAAGUGACGGUACCUGCAGAAGAAGCGCCGGCCAACUACGUGCCAGCAGCCGCGGUAAGACGUAGGGCGCGAGCGUUGUCCGGAUUUAUUGGGCGUAAAGAGCUCGUAGGCGGCUUGUCGCGUCGAAUGUGAAAACUUGGGGCUCAACCCCAAGCUUGCAUUCGAUACGGGCAGGCUAGAGUUCGGUAGGGGAGACUGGAAUUCCUGGUGUAGCGGUGAAAUGCGCAGAUAUCAGGAGGAACACCGGUGGCGAAGGCAGGUCUCUGGGCCGAUACUGACGCUGAGGAGCGAAAGCGUGGGGAGCGAACAGGAUUAGAUACCCUGGUAGUCCACGCUGUAAACGUUGGGCGCUAGGUGUGGGGACCCUCUCCGGGUUUCUGCGCCGCAGCUAACGCAUUAAGCGCCCCGCCUGGGGAGUACGGCCGC
rnacentral:rRNA from 1 species